GGAGGGUGCAAGCGUUGUUCGGAAUUAUUGGGCGUAAAGAGCGUGUAGGCGGUCCGGUAAGUCAGAUGUGAAAGCCCUGGGCUCAACCCAGGAAGUGCAUUUGAAACUACCAGACUUGAGUACGGGAGAGGAGGGGGGAAUUCCCGGUGUAGAGGUGAAAUUCGUAGAUAUCGGGAGGAAUACCAGUGGCGAAGGCGCCCCUCUGGACCGAUACUGACGCUGAGACGCGAAAGCGUGGGGAGCAAACAGGAUUAGAUACCUGGGUAGUCCACGCCGUAAACGAUGAGCACUAGGUGUAGCGGGUAUUGACCCCCCUGCUGUGCCGUAGCUAACGCAUUAAGUGCUCCGCCUGGGGGACUACGGUCGCAAGACUA
rnacentral:rRNA from 1 species